AGGAAGAAACUCACACCUCUCAAUUAACUAAGCUAUUCCUUUUCCUUAUUUUCUUCUUUCUCCUUCUUUUCUAUUCUGCUUCUUCUUCUUUGUUAUUUUCUUCUUCUCUGUUCCUCUUUGUUACUCGAAACAGAGACACGAGAGAGUGGGAGCCAGAGAGUGAGAGAAGAGAGAAGCAAAGAUUGAGAGAGAGAGAGAAGCAGAAAUCGGGAGACAGAGACGGAGAGUCCGAGUGAGUGAGAGUGAGAGAUGAGAUCGAGAGGGAGAUCGGGUCAGAGAGAGAUCCGACCGUCCUGAUGAACUGACCUUUAACCAGUGAAGUCCGGCGCGAUCUCCGGCGAUUGGGGGGCUGUUUCCGGCAGUAUCUUUCCGACGGCACAGUGACGACUCCGGAAGUGUUCUUCCGGUAAUUUCAGUAGAUUUUCUGUAGAAAAUCCCUAGGAUGAUGGAAUACGAGACUGCGGAUAUGACAGUUAAUAAACAAAGACCAGAGCUUAAGAAGUUUUAUAGCUAAGGACGCAUAGUUUAUAUUUUGUUUGUAGUCUUCUGUGUUUAUAGCUUUUUAUGUUGACAAGAUUGCUAAUAAUUUAUAUGUAUUCUUUUGUGUCUUUAUGGACACCUGCUUCCUUGUAUUUGUUAUAAGUAUUUUCUAAUGAAUAUCUAGAGGUAUUUAAUUUAAAAGCUCUAAUGUGUUAUUUAAUCUAAGCCUGUUGGACAAAAAUAUAUUCCGCUGCGAAAGUUUAUCUCUGAUGUAGUAACGUCACGUGGGAACCGAAGGUUUCUGCUUACGAAUUUGCUGGUUCAAAUUUGGGGUGUUACAGAAUGGUAUCAGAGCAGUUUGCUCUGAGGACCUUAAGACUUGACCAUAGAAGUCUAAGUAUUAACACAAGAGCUAUAGGAAAAAAAUAAAUUUUUUUAAACUCCUUAAAAGCUUUUGUAUGAAAUUAAGUAGCAUAAGAGAAUAGUAAUCGUCACUUACAGUUAAGUUUUAUAAAAACGAUAUAUCUAUAGCAUAUACAUGUUUAUGUUUUAUUGUCUAAUAGCAACAGAGACACUUCUAUAUGAUAUUCUUUCAUCAAGGUUAACAAGUUUAGAUGUUUUUAGUGCAGAAAGACUUCCACCUAAAUGUCAAUCUCAGUGUUAGAUGAAUGGAAACCCGAGGUAUGGAAAUAGAAGUACUUUCAUAAUUAGAAUGAUUGAUAUCCAGUAUUAUUUUGAGGUAUAGUCAUAAAUGCUUUAUGGAGGUAUAGAUUACAGAAUCCAGAUGCUUAAUACCUUGAAAAAUUUAUGGAUAUUAAGUUGUUAAAUUUAUAGAGCACUCUAUAGAUUUUUCUUGUGCUUGAGAGAUACAACUUUCCUAUCACCAUAAUAAGGAUAACCUGAGGAUCAAAAGAUAAAUAUUGAGGCUUUCAGGUUUAUUCGAU